rnacentral:rRNA from 1 species
AGAACGAACGCUGGCGGCAUGCCUAAUACAUGCAAGUCGAACGAACUCUUCGGAGUUAGUGGCGCACGGGUGCGUAACGCGUGGGAAUCUGCCCCUUGGUUCGGAAUAACAGUUGGAAACGACUGCUAAUACCGGAUGAUGACGAAAGUCCAAAGAUUUAUCGCCAAGGGAUGAGCCCGCGUAGGAUUAGCUAGUUGGUGAGGUAAAGGCUCACCAAGGUAACGAUCCUUAGCUGGUCUGAGAGGAUGAUCAGCCACACUGGGACUGAGACACGGCCCAGACUCCUACGGGAGGCAGCAGUAGGGAAUAUUGGACAAUGGGCGAAAGCCUGAUCCAGCAAUGCCGCGUGAGUGAUGAAGGCCUUAGGUGUAAAGCUCUUUUACCCGAGAUGAUAAUGACAGUAUCGGAGAAUAAGCCCCGGACUAACUCCGUGCCAGCAGCCGC